UAUUUGCCAAAACAUAACACUUGACAGAUUGAAACAGUAAUGCUAAUAUCUCGCUUAGCGAAUAUAGGCCAGCAUAUAUUUUUUGCCGUACUUGCGAGCAACCGAAAAGGCCUUAUAUUUCAAUAUUUCUAACUUAAUUGGGCAUUUUAGCGCUUGAUAACUUAAUUCAAAUCAAAAAAAAAAUUAACUAUAAUUCAUAAUUGCAGCGUUUUCCAACACUUUUGAGAUGCAUACUUCGCUGAAAAAUCAACAAACGCAAAAUGACAGCAUUUCGCACUACGCAAUUUCUCGAAAACAAAAUUUGGGACGCAUUAGAGAAGAUUUGCCGAUUUUAAAGCAGAAUUUUUAAUAGUUUGGUAAUUAGAUGAAUCUGCAAAAUAUUUCUUUAAGAAAUACAUUUAAAAAUGUUAUGGAAAACCUAUAUUUGAAAUAUACCGAAAAAGAUAAGUGUAAGCCUUGUGAGAUGUGUGAAUUGGUUAGUUAUUUAAAAUGCCUCUGUAACCACAAUUCAUAUUUGUGUACUUGAUUGAUUCUAAAUGAAAUAAUCGGAUUUUGUUCUGGUUUUCCCUUCGAUGCCUUUAUGGCAUCAUCAAGGAUUUUAUAAGUAUGACUCUUUGGUAAGAUACUUUUUCUGCAACUCGUCUAUGAAGAUGAUUGAGAAGAAAUGCUUUAAGCUGCGUAACAAUUGAUGGGAAACUUUGGAUUUGGCUUCUGCAAGAACUCAACCAGCAUAUUUAAAGCAUUUUUAUUGAUUUUAACAACAAUAUCUUUGUAAACUAUAUCGCUAUAUGAAAGGAUGAUAGCUUAAUCUUUGCGGAGUCUAUGUUUGGGAGCUGCUCAUUUGUAAAAAUAGAGUACCUUUAGUAAUUCUGGUUAGACUUUUGGGUUUGCAAUGUUCAAACGAAGAAGGGUUCUUUAGAUAGAACGCCGCUGGUUGCAAUAUCAUCAUAUCUUAUACUCGUUAUUCUAAUAAAUUUUUGAUUAUGGAAUAAGAUGGGCAACUUGUAUGUAUACGGGUGUGAAUUUAUUAAAAGUACUUAUCAUUAACGUUAAAGUUCUGCUCAAAAAUCCAAAGUAAAAGGUUACUACUCAUUUAUGGAUUUUUUUGCUCUGCGAGACGUAAUAUAAGAAUUUCAAUUAGUCGUUAUGGCCUAUACAUUAUCUUGAUGUGAAGUCCAAAAUGCUUCUUGUAAAAUAAAAUAAUUAACUACUGAGCAAGUAUUUCAACAUUACUUGUCAUAAGAUGGCAGAAGACAUUUCAAUGCCAACACAAUCAGUACAACCGUCCAUUCAUGUUUUAUACGUCAAUCACGGCCUUUCAUACCAAAACAAUGUUUUCUUCGAAAAUGCGUUUGAAUUACAGCAAAGUAGGGGAUAAGAUUAGGCAUGUAUUCAUAUUGCAAUUCAUGCAUGCUACCAGCUCUACAGUUCCAUUUGGGUUACAACAUCAACAACAAGUGCUGGGAGGAGAACUUUAAAGGAUUUUCUUUAGUAUGUUGAUAUCUUUAAAGAAUUUUGAAAUGUUUGCUUGUUUUUCGUUGUAUGCUUUAACACACCAAAUUAAGAUUAUUAUAUUGUAUGAAAUCAUUCAUGUCAUUAUAUUGAAAUAAACU